UCCUCCCUCAAACCCCGGGUUUGGUGUUGGGCACAAGUUGGGUCGACCAACUGGCCUCAAAGACAAUGACGGCGUCCGUGGGACCCUCGGUGCAACGAGCUUCUAGGAGCACGCGUCGAGUCUAAAGGACCUUCCGGGCCGGUCUAACCUCUAAAUUUUUUCUCA
rnacentral:misc_RNA from 1 species